CUCCCGCUUUUUCAAGAAAACGGCCCGGGGGACAAGCGUGGAGGAAGAGCAGCAGCUGGCAGAGGCAGGCCAGGGGCUCAACUCCUCUGGGCUUGCUGUAGAGCCCGCGGUUAUGCUGAAGGGCAGUGCCAAGGCUGGCGUGAUUUAAUUCCAGGUUUUUACAGGGGUUUGCUUGUGUUCAAAAUCACAUUCUUAUUGUGAUACUCUUUUGAAACACUGGUUGACGUCUGAUAUCAGAUAGCCUCUGUAUACCUAGAAAUAAGUAGCGUAUAUCUGAAACUUCACGGGUCUCUAAGGAUGCAGCUUCAAAGACGGCAGAGCCCUCUCGGCUGCCUAACUGUGGCUCGCCAGCUUCCCUUUUGUGUUGCCUGCCGUGUGGCUUGUCCUCUUACCCGUAGGAGUCGUCAUAACAGAGUGGGGAAAUAGUGGGUUCCAAAAGAGGAAAUGUGUUUCUCUGUCGGAUCCUCACUAAACAGAAGUCACAGGAGCUCGAUUUCUUCCCCUCUCUCAGGUCUGCCUUGAAGGCGUCUGUCCUGCAAUCAAUUACUCUAAUCAUGCUUCUAAUAUUUCUGUGAAAAGGAGUAUCAUUCCCAUUUGACAUUUGCUCUGGGGGCACUUUCUGGUGGUAUCCGGCAGAUAAAGAUGGGGGCCUGGUGGUUUCCCCACAAAUUGUACUCUCUCUUUAUUUGUCUGCCAGCAAUUCACUUUGCAGUUAAGGCCCUUCAUCUCAAAAAUAAAAACAUUGGGUUACGCUGGAUGUUGUUUUAAUUCACACAUCUCCUGGUAAAUGGAGUAAGCCUAGAAGCAGCUUUCUUACUUUGCGUCUCCCUCUGGAAUGCAAGAAUGUAGGUGCAGUGGCCUCCAAAUAAUUUUAGUCAUAAUUCGGAGAAACCAUCUUUGGGCUCUUUAGUUGAGAGUGGGCGUUCUUUGAGAUCAAACCAGCAUGAGGUAAAGUAUAUUUGGCUUUUCUAAAAGUAUAUUUUUGAUUUAGACAUAAGUAAACGCCAGCUUAACCCAGUUUGCAGAAAAUGCCCUAUUUCAUCCACUCAUUGUGAUGUGAUUAGUGAGUUGUACAUCAUGUAAUCCUCUGAAAAACAUUAUGAAAGCUGAUAGAGCGAAUGAUGGACUUAAUUUUUUUAAUUGUACACCUAACAUUGAUAAUCUUGUCUCCCCCAGCAUACCGCCAACAUGUCCACUUUCCGGUGGAGUGUCACCUUGAUGUAGUUUGCUAAGCUUUUUCUAAUAUUCCUCUUGAUACUUUGUGGAGAAAAUUUUAUACUCCGCUUUAAUUCAAAAAAACCAAAAUCAUUUUUUCUGUCUUGAAUGUACAGUGCUCUGUAAAAUGUAACCUGUCUUGUACAUAGGUUUGUUUCUUGUCUUCAUUGCACUUGGUUUUAAGUUAAGAGUUUUACGUUGUCAUGUGUUGGUUAAAAUAGUUUGGAAAUCUGAGUGCAAAACAACCCCAGAACUAUGCAUAGCAUUUACUGUUAUUUAUUUUUGCUGUUCCCCUCUGUGGCAUUCAUAUCUGAUGUCUGUUUUCUGGUAUUGUAUCUUUAAAUGACUGGGCAGAUUGUACAGAGAUCUACGAGGGCUUUGCUUCUUCCCUUCGCAGGGUUCACACCUGGCUCUUCCGGCAAGACCAUUGCCAAAAUUCAUUGGCUGGUCUAGCCUCCCAGGCACCCCACCACGGUGAGCUAAGAGGGCCAUCCUCCUCAUUCUUUGGGGCACUGCAAGUCACCCGUCCCUAUUUGGCUUUGUUUUUGGAAGCAAGUUUUCUUUUCUUUUUUUAAAUCAAAAUCCGGUGAGAGGGAGAGGAGUGCUAACGGAGGCCCUGGUUUCAAGCCAUCAGCAGAUUGCCCAGGCAGAUUCUGCUCCUACGAGACCGUUUCUAAGUUCAGCCCAGAGCAGGGGCUCCUUGGAACGUAUCUCUGUAGCAGGUUGGCUUCCACGCAACUUCUCUAUAUGUCCAAAUGCAGUGUCCUCAUCACUAGGUAGACAUGGCAUGGAAUUUUCCUAUUUGCUUUUAAUAAAGAGAAUGGCAUUUUUAAAAUCCAUUCAGAGCUGGGUGGUUUAUGUAGCCUUAAAGGCUGCUUUCUGUGUUGAAAGGGUGUGAAGCUUGCACGUGACCCCUUUGAAUCCCAGCCCCAGAGCCAAGAGGACUCUGGGUGCAGGCUCUGGGCGUUCUGGAUGUUGGUCUCACCUGAAAAGGUGGCUGCUUGGUUUUGCUAGACAUUGGCAUCUCCAUGGGCCUCUUGGUUUUCUCUCGUCCCAAAUGCAGACGUGACAUAUAUAUUCUGUUUUAAUUUUCAGGAAGCCCUUUGUUUAAGUUAAAAAUUUUUUAAAUGUAAACAACAUGACUGUCCGCAUUUUAUAUUUACUGUACUGGAUUUGCCAGUUACAAUUCUGGCCAAGAAUGUGCCUUCUUCAGCUCUAUAAAUGGUCGCAUGUAACUGUAAAUGA